rnacentral:rRNA from 1 species
UACCAGCACCCCGAGUGGUCGGGACGUUUAUUGGGCCUAAAGCAUCCGUAGCCGGUUCUACAAGUCUUCCGUUAAAUCCAACUGCUUAACAGGUGGGCUGCGGAAGAUACUAUAGAGCUAGGAGGCGGGAGAGGUAAGCGGUACUCGAUGGGUAGGGGUAAAAUCCGUUGAUCCAUUGAAGACCACCAGUGGCGAAGGCGGCUUGCCAGAACGCGCUCGACGGUGAGGGAUGAAAGCUGGGGGAGCAAACCGG